rnacentral:lncRNA from 1 species
GAUAUUUGUUAGCCUUGAUGUUUGAAGUACUCAUCGGUGACCAAUAAGCUGUUAUACAGCCUUGAACACUGACUGAAGGGGGUCUGAAAUACCAUGGGGAUUAAAAAUAGCAAAACCACAUGCUGAAAUUAGAAUUUAUAUUUAGACGAUAUAUUGUCUUUCACUCACCCUGCAGAAUUUUAUUUUUAAGGCUGUACAUUGUGUGGCUCUGUGUUUCUCAUUUUAGAAACACAAGGAACUCACUGGAAAGCCAGACCUGGUUAAUACAAACAUAGUCUGAGUAAACAUACAGGAGUUGCUAUGCAGGAUAAGGGCAGAACAUUCUUCACCAACACCACAUUGGUUCAGUAUAAUCACAAACACUGAAAUUUUUCUUUGUGAAAGUGACACUGUGAAAUGUGUAACAAAAUUUUUCAAGGCAUUUGGGGAUGUAUAGUUCAGCAUUCAACAGGACCACCAAAGAUGUAGGCAGAUGCAUUUCCGCCGCUUCAAGGAAGGGUGCCGAAUGUGCGCAGGCCCUCUGUGCUAUCCUUCAUUGUUCCUGCAUUUACCUUCCUACUUCUAUGCAAUGGAGUGCAAAGCUUGUUUAUUGGCAGUCCUGAAGGCUUUGCAGAGGUACUGAAUGGUGGAAACUGAGAUUUCCAAAUCCUCCUAGGUUUUAGGGCAGCACUCUUUAAAUAGGAUUUCUGAGUCCCAAAUCUUUCUUAUAUCCUUGAUAAUUUUUAUAUUAU